rnacentral:rRNA from 1 species
UACGGGGGGAGCAAGCGUUGUUCGGAUUUACUGGGCGUAAAGGGCGCGUAGGCGGCCAGCACAAGUCAGUUGUGAAAUCUCCGAGCUUAACUCGGAACGGUCAACUGAUACUGUGCGGCUAGAGUGCGGAAGGGGCAACUGGAAUUCUUGGUGUAGCGGUGAAAUGCGUAGAUAUCAAGAGGAACACCUGCGGCGAAGGCGGGUUGCUGGGCCGACACUGACGCUGAGGCGCGAAAGCGUGGGGAGCGAACAGG